UACGGAGGGUGCAAGCGUUAUCCGGAUUCACUGGGUUUAAAGGGCGCGUAGGCGGCCUGCUAAGUCGGAUGUGAAAUCCCUCGGCUCAACCGAGGAACUGCAUCCGAUACUGGCGGGCUUGAAUCCGGGAGAGGGAUGUGGAAUUCCUGGUGUAGCGGUGAAAUGCGCAGAUAUCAGGAAGAACACCUAUGGCGAAGGCAGCUCUCUGGGACGGUACUGACGCUGAGACGCGAAAGCGUGGGGAGCGAACAGG
rnacentral:rRNA from 1 species